rnacentral:rRNA from 1 species
GGAAUAUUGGACAAUGGGCGAAAGCCUGAUCCAGCCAUGCCGCGUGUGUGAAGAAGGCCUUCGGGUUGUAAAGCACUUUAAGCAGGGAGGAAGGGCGAUUGGUUAAUAGCCAAUUGCAUUGACGUUACCUGCAGAAUAAGCACCGGCUAACUCCGUGCCAGCAGCCGCGGUAAUACGGAGGGUGCAAGCGUUAAUCGGAAUUACUGGGCGUAAAGCGCGCGUAGGCGGUUUGUUAAGUGUGAUGUGAAAGCCCAGGGCUUAACCUUGGAACUGCAUCACAUACUGGCAGGCUAGAGUACGGUAGAGGGGGGUAGAAUUCCACGUGUAGCGGUGAAAUGCGUAGAGAUGUGGAGGAAUACCAGUGGCGAAGGCGGCCCCCUGGAUCGAUACUGACGCUGAGGUGCGAAAGCGUGGGGAGCA